rnacentral:rRNA from 1 species
ACGGAGGGUGCAGCGUUAAUCGGAAUUACUGGGCGUAAAGCGCGCAGGCGGUUUGUUAAGUGAGAUGUGAAAGCCCAGGGCUCAACCUUGGAACUGCAUCUCAUACUGGCAGGCUAGAGUAUGGUAGAGGGAGGUAGAAUUCCACGUGUAGCGGUGAAAUGCGUAGAGAUGUGGAGGAAUACCAGUGGCGAAGGCGGCCUCCUGGACUAAUACUGACGCUGAGGUGCGAAAGCGUGGGGAGCAAACAGGAUUAGAUACCCCUGUAGUCC